rnacentral:rRNA from 1 species
GACGAACGCUGGCGGCGUGCUUAACACAUGCAAGUCGAGCGAGUGAGUUCUCUUCGGAGAACGAUCUAGCGGCGGACGGGUGAGUAACACGUGGGCAACCUGCCUUGUAGAGGGGGAUAGCCUUCCGAAAGGAAGAUUAAUACCGCAUAACAAAAUUUUAUCGCAUGGUGAAAUUUUUAAAGGAGUAAUCCGCUACAAGAUGGGCCCGCGGCGCAUUAGCUAGUUGGUGAGGUAACGGCUCACCAAGGCGACGAUGCGUAGCCGACCUGAGAGGGUGAUCGGCCACAUUGGAACUGAGACACGGUCCAGACUCCUACGGGAGGCAGCAGUGGGGAAUAUUGCACAAUGGGGGAAACCCUGAUGCAGCAACGCCGCGUGAGUGAUGACGGCCUUCGGGUUGUAAAGCUCUGUCAUUAGGGACGAAAUUGACGGUACCUAGUGAGGAAGCCACGGCUAACUACGUGCCAGCCGCCGCGGUAAUAC